rnacentral:rRNA from 1 species
UACAGAGGUCUCAAGCGUUGUUCGGAUUCAUUGGGCGUAAAGGGUGCGUAGGCGGCGCGGUAAGUCGGGUGUGAAAUCUUGGAGCUUAACUCCGAAACUGCAUUCGAUACUGCGGUGCUUGAGGACUGGAGAGGAAACUGGAAUUCAUGGUGUAGCAGUGAAAUGCGUAGAGAUCAUGAGGAAGACCAGUGGCGAAGGCGGGUCUCUGGACAGUUCCUGACACUGAGACACGAAGGCCAGGGGAGCAAACGGG